ACGAACGCUGGCGGCGUGCCUAAUACAUGCAAGUCGAGCGAACAUUUGAGAGCUUGCUCUCAAAUGUUAGCGGCGGACGGGUGAGUAACACGUGGGCAACUUGCCUAUAAGACUGGGAUAACUUCGGGAAACCGGAGCUAAUACCGGAUAAUUCACAUCUACUCAUGUAGAUGUGCUGAAAGACGGUUUACGCUGUCACUUAUAGAUGGGCCCGCGGCGCAUUAGCUAGUUGGUGAGGUAACGGCUCACCAAGGCCACGAUGCGUAGCCGACCUGAGAGGGUGAUCGGCCACACUGGGACUGAGACACGGCCCAGACUCCUACGGGAGGCAGCAGUAGGGAAUCUUCCGCAAUGGACGAAAGUCUGACGGAGCAACGCCGCGUGAGUGAUGAAGGUUUUCGGAUCGUAAAACUCUGUUGUUAGGGAAGAACAAGUACCAGAGUAACUGCUGGUACCUUGACGGUACCUAACCAGAAAGCCACGGCUAACUACGUG
rnacentral:rRNA from 1 species